rnacentral:tRNA from 1 species
AUGCAAGUAAAUCUUGCAGGUAAUACUUGCAGAUUAAUGAUGUUAUUAUAAAUAUAUUGAGAGUUAUUAU